GUUUAUAACAGAAAUCACUGCUUAUCACCCUAAAAGUGCUGCUAUAUAUACUCUGCUUACAGACCAUCCUGGAGGCCAGUACACUCCCCACCCUCUCCAGUACACGACCCCUGAGCCCGAGACCCUUGACCUGGAUCUUCUGCCUUGGGUUCUCCUGCCUUGUGUCGCCCUUCUCACUGGUGCCAUCUCAUCAUCCUGCUGCUAUUUCUGUCAUAAGCAAGGAUCUACUGGAGGGCAAGUCUGGUGCCAGCAGCCGUGGUAAUUCCAGCUCCAAAGCUUGCAGUUGGAUUUCAGGAUCAGGCUGGUGGUCCACCGCGAGGUGAGCUACCGCCUGUCCCGGCCCCUGCCGGUCGGCGCCCCCUCGAUGCUCUUAACUGAGUGUCCCGCGGGG